rnacentral:rRNA from 1 species
UAGCGGCGAGCGAACGGGGAGCAGCCCGGAGUCUGAAUCAGCUUGUGUGUUAGUGGAACGGUCUGGAAAGUCCGACGGUACAGGGUGAUAGUCCCGUACACGAAAGCACACUUGCUGUGAACUCGAAGAGUAGGGCGGGACACGUGGUAUCCUGUCUGAAUAUGGGGGGACCAUCCUCCAAGGCUAAAUACUCCUGACUGACCGAUAGUGAACCAGUACCGUG